rnacentral:rRNA from 1 species
UACGUAGGGUGCAAGCGUUGUCCGGAAUUAUUGGGCGUAAAGAGCUCGUAGGCGGUCUGUCGCGUCUGCUGUGAAAACUCGGGGCUUAACCCCGGGCCUGCAGUGGGUACGGGCAAACUAGAGUACUGCAGGGGAGACUGGAAUUCCUGGUGUAGCGGUGAAAUGCGCAGAUAUCAGGAGGAACACCGGUGGCGAAGGCGGGUCUCUGGGCAGUAACUGACGCUGAGGAGCGAAAGCGUGGGGAGCGAACAGG